CUCCAAAGACAACAAUAAACAACAGAAGUGGCAGAAAUGAUGAACAAUUUUCCUUUCGUGUAAAUUUGUUCCUUUUUCUUCUUCUUCUUUCUUUUUUCUUUUUUUUUUUUAAAUUCCCUUUACACUUUCUUUUGCAGUUGCAAAUGUUUUGAGAAUCCAUCAUCUUCCCAGGUUGAUGGUACGGCCCUCGUGACCCAGCUGUGAGUCACCAUUCCCAGCUGGGUGGCUCUGAAGAGAGACAAGAAGCUCAGAUGUGUCCCUGAUUCCCCACCAGCUCAGGCCAGGAACAUCUGUCUGCUCCUUCCCUUCCUUCAGACGGUCCCAAGGAGGGGGCAGACAGCAAUAUCUCCCAAGAAGGGCAGUGGAGCUGGGGAAGCCUCUGGAGCACCAGAAGUGACUGGAGGUGGGGCUCAGCAUGAAGAAAAAGAGGAUCAGAGGGGACCUCUCCACAACUCCCUGACAGGAGGGUGCAGCCAGGUGAGGCUUUGUCCCUCCUCCUCAAGUAUCAAGUAAUAGGAGGAGAGGAACGACCUCAAGGUUUAGAUUGGGUAUCAGGGAAAGUUUCUUCACUGAAAGGGCUCUCCAGCCCUGGCACAGCUGCCCAGGGUGGUGGUGGAGUCCCCAUCCCCAGAGGAGUUUAAAAUAUAUGUGAAUGUGACAGCGAGGGACAUGGUCUAAUGGUGGGCCUGAUAACCUUAAUUAUCUUUUUGACCUGAGUGAUUCAAUGAAACAUUAAUAAUUUUGCUUUUAUUUUAAAUACACAGCCUUUUCCUGGAGUCUAGUCAGGAGCCAGAGGAUCUGAGAAGUUGUGGUAAAAAAUUGUCAGUUCAUUCAGUGAAAACGUGACAAAAUGGUCUAAGGAUAAGCUGAGUUUCUCCAGUUUCAGUUACCAGUUCUUGGUUUGUGGAGGAUGAAGGAGAUGUUCUUAACAUUGCCCAAAUGCAGAACUGGGAAUUUGACGUGCAGAUCUUCCCUUGUUUGUGAAAAUAUGUGUCUGAACAACCCUGAGAGCUGAAGUGUUGAAAUCCUGGCUGAGAAUAUAUAUCCAGGAUUAGGAACAGAGAACUUCAGUGGGAAAAGUCAUCUGGGAUUUCUUAGACAUUCCUCUGGUUGGAAACUUGGCCAUAAAAGUUCUUCCUUUUUUGUCCCCAAGGUAUUGUUGUCAGACACUUGGUACCUGAAGAUUUUCCUUUCCCAUUAUUGAAGUUUUCCUAACCCAAUGUG
rnacentral:lncRNA from 1 species